GUCUUGGUCGUUUUACAGGGCCGGUAUAGCCGAGUUCAUAGCCACUUUUCUUUUCUUGUACAUCUCCGUAUUGACAGUGAUGGGCGUCGUCAAGUCCAACACCAAGUGCUCAACCGUCGGCAUUCAAGGGAUUGCAUGGGCCUUCGGUGGCAUGAUCUUCGCGCUCGUUUACUGCACAGCUGGCAUCUCGGGUUUGUACCAGCUGCGCUUCUGGUUAAUUAAUUUUAUGAGCAAAAUAACUAAAGGGUUCGACAAAAUAAUUUUUGAUUUUUUAAACUUUUUGUUGUGACGCAGGUGGUCAUAUCAACCCGGCGGUGACAUUCGGGCUGUUCUUGGCGAGGAAGCUGUCGUUGACACGUGCACUUUUCUACAUGGUGAUGCAGUGUCUGGGAGCCAUCUGUGGUGCUGGCGUUGUAAAGGGUUUCAUGGGUGCCGGCCAAUACGGUCGGCUCGGCGGCGGUGCCAAUGCUGUAGCUCAUGGCUACACCAAGGGUGAUGGUCUUGGUGCCGAGAUUAUUGGUACUUUUGUUCUUGUCUACACAGUUUUCUCUGCCACUGACGCCAAACGUAGCGCCAGAGACUCUCAUGUUCCUGUAAGUUGAUUCUUUUUCUGGUUAAUGUAUGAUUAAUUAACCAAUAAUAAUCAUAAUUAUUACCUUUACUAAUAACUACCUUAUUGAAUAUGGUUAGAUUUUGGCUCCUUUGCCAAUUGGGUUCGCUGUGUUCUUGGUUCACUUGGCUACUAUCCCUAUUACCGGAACUGGCAUCAACCCCGCAAGGAGUCUUGGAGCUGCAAUCAUCUACAACAAGGACCACGGUUGGGAUGACCAUGUAAGUUUAAUUUACUCUCUUGAUUACCCUAAAAUAAGAUCUCGGUCAUCAAGAUUACACUUGUGGACGUAAAUUCAAUAAUGGUAAUUAAUCAGUUAAUCAUGAUCAAUCUUAUAUAUGGUUUUGAUGCAGUGGAUUUUCUGGGUGGGACCAUUCAUUGGAGCAGCACUUGCAGCUUUGUACCACCAGGUUGUGAUCAGAGCCAUUCCGUUCAAAUCAAGCUGAUGGUCUUAUGAACGGUCGUGAUUGCUGAUGCAUUUGUUUAUGGCUGUCGUUGGUGGUUCUGUUUUAUAUUUUAGAUUAUCCCAAGUCCAUGCAUUUUCGGUUCGUUAAAUUUUCUGGUUGUUUGGUUUUGUGUAUGAAUUUUCUGUAAUGCCUAUGCACAAAGAAGCCGCUGGCAGUGGCUUUAUUUAAAUUUAUGUAGUUUAUUUUUUCUUAAAAAGCAAAGUAAUUUCAUUAAACAAUAAACAGUACAAUAAUGAUACACAAUACUACAAUAGUAGAUCCACACACUCUAAAUAUAUAUAUGCGGAUAAAACUGUAUAUUACAAACAUAUAAUAUAUAUAAUUAAUAAAUGGAUCUUAUCGAAUUUUUUGAAUACUAGCCAACCAAAAAGAAUUUGCCUUAGUUGAAGAGGCGUUGUUAGAAGCAUAAUCAUUAUGUAUUAUGGAACACCAUAUAUAUGCUCGCUAUCGUAUGAAGUUUGCGUGCUGGUAUUUUUUUGCGUUUUGGUUAUAAAUGAAUGUCGUUUGGAGAAUUGUUAUAUAUGUACAUAAAAUUUCAAAUUAAAAAAAAAAAUGGUUAUGAUGCUAUGAUGUAAUAUUGAAGUUUAUGGUCAAUCCAAAAGAAAAUGACUUACAAAGGAAAUGGAAUAGAUUUAAUUUAAUUAACAUUGUCGAUUAUACGACAAUUUUAAAUGGCGGAGGAUUUACUACGUAAAUUUGGAUUCAGUAUUAAGCUGACUUUUUUAAUAAUUUUUUUUAAAGAUACAAUUAAUAGUUAUUAUAUAAGAAAACAAAACUAAUCAACUUUUAAUCGUGUAUAGCUAAACAUGCACGGAUGUUUUGCUCUGUUUUGUUGCAAUGUAAUAUUACUUCUUUGUAUGGUUAAAACCAACAUUGCAUAACUAAAGAAGGGUAAAAGCUCGUUUAGUCUCUAUAUUUUGAAGUUAGUGCCCGUUUAGUCCCUAUAUUUUUAAAAAUACCUUAAACCAUCCCUACCAUUAAAUUAUUGACACUUUUGCCAUUAUCUUUUGUUCCUUUUAACUUAUUUUUAUAAUAUUGCUCUAUUAUAAUAAUUUUUUAGACAUUAUUAAAAAGAAAAAAAUAACCCUAUUAUAAUAAUUUUUUAGACAUUAUUAAAAAGGAAAAAAUAAAUUACCAGUUUAACACCAAAAAAUAAAAUAAAAUAAAAUAAUAUAUAUUAAUUUUUGUGGAACACACUCUUGAGUUAAAAUAUUAAUUUUUCUAAAAAAAUUGAUAAUGUAAUUUUUUACGAUAUUAAUUUUUUAGACAUACGUGAGUUUCCACAAAAAUUAAUAUAUACCUUUUUUGUUUUUAUUUUAUUUUUGAGUUUAAUUUGAUAAUUUAAUUUUUUAUUAAUAUCCAAAAAAGAAACAUUAUUGUAAAAAUGUAAUAUUGUAAAAGCAAGUUAAAAAUAAUAAAAAAUAAUCGCAUAAGUGUCAAUAUUUAGUAACAGGGACGUUUUGAGGUGUUUUUAAAAAUAUAGGGACUAAAUGAACACUAACCUCAUAAUAUAAGGACUAAAUUACAAGCUUUUACCCACUAAAGAAUUAUACAUUGUUUGCUUUUACUUUUUUUUUUUAAUGAAGGAUAGACAUUUGUACAACUAUACGAGAGAAUCACUAGUUUAUUAUAUAAAAAAUAUAUAUGCAAAUAAUGAAACCAAACUUCAAGAGUUUUAUGUGAUGACAUCCCAAAAUGUUAUCCCAAAUUAUAUGGCACGUGAUGUAUCAUUUAUUAAGUGGUUGAUGAUCUUUAAUAAAUUCUAAAUGAAUUAAUUAAAUUAUCUUACCAAUAAGUGAAUAAAUCCACAUCAUUUAGGAUGAAAUUUACUAUUGACUAAUUAAAUUUUUUUACUAUUAAAAAAAUAAUCUAUAGUAUUUCAUUCUUUAAAUGGAUAAGAAUUAAAAGAAUAGAAAUUAUGAGAGUAGAAAAUUAGAUUUAUAGUAUCAAGUAUGUUAAUAACUCUUUAGUUGAGUUGGUUCAUGCCAACUCUUAUUAUCUGAAAGGUCGAGGUUUUGAGUGUUUUAUAUUUAUGAGAGUAAAAUUUAACAUAAAAAAUAGUGUCAAUAUAACCUGCUCCGUUUGGAGGCAAUUUCAUAGAUAGGCUACUUUAUAAAUUUCUCAAUUUUAUAAUUUACUUAAAUAAAAAAGUAAUGUCAUUUUAGUGCAUUUUUAAUUUUUUUUUAACUCAUAUGAUGGUGCAUUUUUUAAUUCAAUAAAAAGGUACAGUCACUUCUUUGUUGUCUAUAGUUUUCAUGUUUAUGUAAUAAAAUUAUGGGUUCAUGUUGUUUCAUAUAUUUAUGUGACGUGACUCGUAUCGUUUUCUAUAUAGGGGCAUGCAGCUUGAAUAUUAUUGAGCUUAAAUUCGCUCAAAUAUUAAGGUCCAUAAAACAUUCCCUCCAAAUAGAUUACAAAUAUAAUUAAAAAGAUGCAUUUAACCUUUCUUUGCCAGAAAGAAAUGACGAAGCUAAUUAAAGCACAAACCCAACUAUUGAUUGCAAAUAUCAUGAAGAUUAUUCAAUAUCAUCCAGACAAAUCACUACAACAAUAACACGCUAUAAGAAACAUGUUAGUUGACAUGAUUGGCAUAAUUAAUUUCCAUGAAUUCGCCAUUAACUACCGUCCUGUGUAAUAUAUAAAAAUACCUGCCAGCAUAAAAUUUCUCUAUGAUUUUGUACUUAUUAAGAGAUAAUCAUUCGCUACAGCUGCCUAAUGCAGGAAGGAUUAUGAUCCUCUCUUAAUAUGAUAUUUUCAUAAAUAAAUUUUAUUAAUGUCGUUGGUGGUUAAUAAAUAAAAAAGUAAAGAUAAUUAAAUCAUAAUUAUAUAUUAGCACCAAAAUACAAGUUGUAUAAAAUCUAUAAAAUAUUAGAAAAACUCAUAUCAUGAGAGGAUUCUAGUCCAUGUAGGAAUAACAUCAAUUAGAAAAAUUAUAAUUCAAAUUAUGUGCAUAAACGCCACCCAAAAAAAAAGAAUACUAUUUUUUACUGUAGUAAUUGAUCUAAAUUCAUUUUUAAGUCGCUUCCAACUCCUGAACUUUUUUUUCGUAAGUAAUACUCAAAAAUUAAGUUAAUUGUUGUAUCAAUUUAUUUUUAUAACCUAGUGUAUUUUCAGGAAGAGUAAAAUUAUUGAUUACGACGAUGCUAUCUUUAUAACAUAAAUAGGUUUCUAAAUUCUAAUGUAGACGUUCAUGCGUUAAAAAUAUAAAUACAAAGCAACACAUUGUUCUGUUCCUAAACAUUAUCCGAGGGAGAGCUAGUUAUGCAAGUUGUAAAAAAAAAAAAAAUGUACUUAAGUAUAUUUUAUAGUCUUCUGAGUUCAACUGUUAAAAAAUUGCCUAUAUGUCUUAGGGUUUAUUUGUGAUUGAAAUUUAAAAUCUACGGCACUAAAGUAUAUGGUAAACACUAGUUACUGUAACUUGAAAGUUAUGUUGAUAUGAAUUUUCAAUUGUAUGAUGGAAGAUCUAUUAUAUCUUUAAUAAUUUUGUUAAAAUUAUUAUUUAAAAUUUAUAUUUACUAUAUAUUAUCAAUUUUUGUUUCAUAAUUACAAUUUUUUCCAUAGCAGCUGUAACUUAAAAGUUACAGCACCUUAAUCCCAAAAAGAACUUUAUUGACGACUUCUCGACGUUAAAUCAUAACUUCGAUCAACUAGGGCUGUAAUUUUUUUUAAUAAUGUUACAGUCCCCUAAUAUUUAGAAUAAAGGGUCUACUAGAACUUUCUAAUCAAUUUUGUGACUGUGCAGUCAGAUUGGCUCUAAAUAACAUAAAUUAAUAUUAUAUAGUAAAUAUGAAAUAAAAAUUAAUAGUACAUAGUAAACACAAUUUUUAAACAAUAAUUUUGUUAAAAUUAAUAAAAAUAUAAUAGAUUUUUUAUCAUAUAAGUAUAAACUCAAAUCAACUUAACUUGCAAGUUACAAUAAUUAAUAUAUAAAAAAUAUUUUAGUACUAUAACUUUGAAAUUAUAAUUGUCUAAUUUCAAUUCCAACCGAGCUAGGGGUGGCAAAAAUACCCGCCUGGUCCAGACCCGUACCGCACCCGGGCGUUGUGGGCAUGGUAUUACCCAGCUUGAGUAUGAAGCCAGACCGAUCUUGAGCAUCACUUGAUAAAUUCGGAGCUCGGCUCGGAACCCAAAUUUUAUUAAAAAAAUAUUAUAAAAUAUAUACUAUUUUAAAUAUUUAUAUUUAUUUGACUCAUUUAUUACACAUAUAUAAAAUUUUAAACACUUAAAGUUUAUAUUUUUAUAUCAAAUUUUAUUGAAAUAAAUUUAAAACUUAUAAAAUUACCAAAAAAAAUAUACACAUAUAAUAUUAAAAAAUAUAAAAUUUAGGUACUCGCAUUAAAACUUGAUCCGAACAUCUAAAAAUUACAUCCAAACUAAGUCUGGACAUUGCGAUACCCGAACCCAACCCAGGAUUUUGCCAACCCUAAACCGAGCCUUCGACUUCUAAAUAAAUAUUUUGAAACAACGACGGAUAAAAUAAAUAAAGCCAUUCAAAUAGGAACGGACUAAUUCAUGGAGGCAUCAAUUCGUAAAGUUACAGUCGUGCCAGUGAACCAAUUCCUUAGAGCGAAAUGGACACACGGAAAGGACAAUAGGCCAGAGCAACCGACAUAAUUCACAUUAAGAAAAUGACAAUAAAGCUGAUUGAUAAUGAGAAAGACUUUGAGAGUGUAAAACGAAAUUAAAAUUAAAUAACCUACUUGCUUUGGUUUCUGUAAUUUGCCCUAAAAAGAGCAAUGAAAUUACGUAAUAAAUCCCGUGAUCAUCAUGUCCCAAUUCCCACCCACUCGGUCUGCUUGACCCUUGAUGGACGGUGGCCACAACAUCAUUACAGAUGUGGAUGAAAUUGAGCCAGCUAGGAUACCCCAACGUAAUGUCAUUUUUCUUUCUAAAUAGUCUAAGCGCAUUUAAGUAAUUUCCACAAAAUUCCAAGAAAAUGAUUGGUCGGUCACAAGAUAAGUAAGUAAAUUCAAUUUUAUACACCAAAUUGGAGCCCACCACCUGCACUCAUCACUCCCUGAUCCGGAUGAUAUAACCCCCUUCCCCCAACUUCUAGUACUCUCUCACUCAUUCUCAUCACAACAUCAAACGGCCACAAACAAAAAAGCAAGUGCUUCUUAUUGACUGUUUUGUGUUUUUGAGGGACUAGCAGAAAUGGAAGGUAAAGAAGAGGAUGUUAGACUGGGAGCCAACAAGUUCGCCGAGAGGCAGCCGAUUGGGACGGCGGCUCAGACCCAAGAUGGGAAGGACUACGUUGAGCCCCCACCGGCGCCGCUCUUUGAGCCCGGCGAGCUCAAGUCUUGGUCGUUUUACAGGGCCGGUAUAGCCGAGUUCAUAGCCACUUUUCUUUUCUUGUACAUCUCCGUACUGACAGUGAUGGGCGUCGUCAAGUCCAAUACCAAGUGCUCAACCGUCGGCAUUCAAGGGAUUGCAUGGGCCUUCGGUGGCAUGAUCUUCGUGCUCGUUUACUGCACAGCUGGCAUCUCGGGUUCGUACCGGCUGCGCCUCUGCUUGGUUAAUUUUAUAAGCAAAAUAUCUAAAGUGUUUUUAAAACUGUUUGUUUUGACGCAGGUGGUCAUAUCAACCCGGCGGUGACACUCGGCCUGUUCUUGGCGAGGAAGCUGUCGCUGACACGUGCACUUUUCUACAUGGUGAUGCAGUGUCUGGGAGCCAUCUGCGGUGCUGGCGUUGUAAAGGGUUUCAUGGGUGCCGGCCAAUACGGGCGGCUCGCCGGCGGUGCCAACGUCGUAGCUCAUGGCUACACCAAGGGUGAUGGUCUUGGUGCCGAGAUUAUUGGUAC
rnacentral:lncRNA from 1 species